GCUUAGGGUUGGCCUGUAAUGCAACGUGACUGGUGAGAUGGCGUGCAGACUUGUAAAAAAACAAACAAACCCGGGAUUCUACAAGUCAAAGCGACUGGAACAGGUGCCCCCUUGGCCCUCAGAACUAAUCCUGCCUUUAUUCUGGGCUUUUAGCCUCCAGAACUGGGAGACCUUCCAUUUCUGUUGUUUAGGGCACCCUCGCCGUGCCAUUUGUGGUCUUUCAUUAUGGCAGCCCUACCAGACUAACCCACCGAAGGGAGGAAGGAGCCCGGCGGGAGAUCGCGGCGCAGGUCGGGACGACGGACAGCACCUGCGCGGGCUGGGAGCCACCGGGAGACGUGUCCCCUACGCCCCGACGCCGGGGAGCCCACCGAUUUUCUGAGUCUGAGGGUCAGAGAUAAAGCUGAAAGCUGAUUUUGUUCAACCCCAAGCCUCCUGUCCCAGGGAACUGAGAAGAAGAAAAGAAAAACAAAAAGCUAGUGAAUUGGUGAAGGAAUGUCUGCUUGGACCCUUGCAAGCUGCUACUUCAUGUGUCUGCACCCCAGCUCCUCUCCCACGAUUUCCCCUCGAAAAGCCCAAACCACUUGUGUGUUAGGAGGAUGGUGGUUCUUUAAGGCAGGAGCCUGCCACUCCCUCAUUUGCUAGCAAAUCAAUAAACUAUUCUUUUCUUCCCUCAAAACUUUGUCACUGUGUUUUGUGAUUUGACUUCAGGGGCAAGGACCAGGUUUUGGUAUCAGGAGCGGCCCCCCAACCAAAUGCCCGCAGUGCCGCUCCUUCGGUGUCAGGGCCCACAGGCCGAGUUGUCCUGGAGGAACGCAGAGCUCCCGCCUUCCUUCUUGCUAGCCACAGGGGACUGUGCUGGCAAGGAAUUCGUGCUGUAUGGUAGCUCAAACACAAGCCUCUAGGAUUCCCUCUAAAGUAUAUAUUGAAAGCAGUAAUGCAUUCCAGGAGAGAUUACAGAAACCGGUGUCACCACCAAGGAUUUGAAAGAUGGAGGGGUGGUGAUUUCCACAUACCCUUAUUGAAGUCACUCAUUUGGCCUACUCUGAAAACAGAUGAAUCUUGGAGAUGACAGCGCAUGAUUGUCA